rnacentral:rRNA from 1 species
UACGUAGGGGGCAAGCGUUGUCCGGAAUCAUUGGGCGUAAAGAGCGUGUAGGCGGCCCGGUAAGUCCGCUGUGAAAGUCUAGGGCUCAACCCUGGAAUGCCGGUGGAAACUGUCGGGCUAGAGUCCGGAAGAGGCGAGUGGAAUUCCUGGUGUAGCGGUGAAAUGCGCAGAUAUCAGUAGGAACACCAAUGGCGAAGGCAGCUCGCUGGGACGGUACUGACGCUGAGACGCGAAAGCGUGGGGAGCAAACAGG